rnacentral:rRNA from 1 species
UACGAAGGGGGCUAGCGUUGUUCGGAAUUACUGGGCGUAAAGCGCGCGCAGGCGGUCCUUCAAGUCGGGGGUGAAAGCCCAGAGCUCAACUCUGGAACUGCCUUUGAGACUGGAGGACUUGGGUACGGGAGAGGUGAGUGGAAUUCCGAGUGUAGAGGUGAAAUUCGUAGAUAUUCGCAAGAACAGCAGUGGCGAAGGCGGCUCACUGGCCCGGUACUGACGCUGAGGUGCGAAAGCGUGGGGAGCAAACAGG